rnacentral:rRNA from 1 species
GUAGGUGGCAAGCGUUGUCCGGAAUUAUUGGGCGUAAAGCGCGCGCAGGCGGUUCUUUAAGUCUGAUGUGAAAGCCCACGGCUCAACCGUGGAGGGUCAUUGGAAACUGGAGAACUUGAGUACAGAAGUGGAAAGCGGAAUUCCACGUGUAGCGGUGAAAUGCGUAGAGAUGUGGAGGAACACCAGUGGCGAAGGCGGCUUUCUGGUCUGUAACUGACGCUGAGGCGCGAAAGCGUGGGGAGCAAACAGGAUUAGAUACCCUGGUAGUCCACGCCGUAAACGAUGAGUGCUAAGUGUUAGGGGGGUUUUCCGCCCCCCUUAGUGCUGCAGCUAACGCAUUAAGCACUCCGCCUGGGAGUACGGCCGCAAGGCUG